CGAAAUGCGAUAAGUAAUGUGAAUUGCAGAAUUCAGUGAAUCAUCGAAUCUUUGAACGCACCUUGCGCUCCUUGGUAUUCCUUGGAGCAUACCUGUUUGAGUAUCAUGAAAUCUUCAAAGUAAAUCUUUUGUUAACUCAAUUGGUUUCUACUUUGGUAUUGGAGGUCUUUGCAGCUUCACACCUGCUCCUCUUUGUUCAUUAGCUGGAUCUCAGUGUUAUGCUUGGUUCCACUCGGCGUGAUAAGUUAUCUAUCGCUGAGGACACUGUAAAAGGUGGCCAAGGUAAAUGCAGAUGAACCGCUUCUAAUAGUCCAUUGACUUGGACAAUACUUUUAUGAUCUGAUCUCAAAUCAGGUAGGACUACCCGCUGAACUUAAGC
rnacentral:misc_RNA from 1 species